AGCUGUCUAACUUCGGCAUGUGCUGGUGACAGGGCGGUGGGCAGCUAUUUAACCUCUCAGUGAUUCAGUGGCCUCAUCAGUAAAAGUUUUCAUUUUUGGUAACGUCGGCUGAAACAGUGGCUGCUUACACAGGCACAGUGAAGUGCAGCCUGCAGGAGACACUUGAUGACCUAAGCAGAACAACCCACCUACCAGAAAUAUCCAGGUUGGCCACAGUAGGAGAGGAGCCCUCUAGUUCAGUGAUACCAGCGCUCUCACUGGAAGAAAUGAGGAGGGCCUUUCUCCAUGAAAAUGAGCGUGACAGAAAACUGCAGGUGCCGGAGCCCCAGAGGCCGUUCUGUAAGAAGCAGAAAAAGACAUCACUUGAGACUGAACUUGCAUGAAAAAUGAGGCUGUAUAAGGAAAAUAAAUUCCAACUUUGGAAUUCUCCAGUUUCCCCUA